rnacentral:tRNA from 1 species
GAGGGUAUAGCUCAAUAGUAGAGCACGCGCUUAUCAUGCACGAGGUCCUGGGUUCAGUCUCCAGUACCUCCA